CCGAGUUAGGGUCUUCUCAGGGCCCGACCUCCUUACCUUUGUCUACCUUACCUCACGUUGCUUCGGCGGGCCCGUCCUCUUUUGGACCGCCGGAGGGUUGACCCCCUCUGGCCCGUUGCCCGCCGACAGCCCCCAACCAAAAAACUCUUGCAAUAACUGUGGAAUUGUCUGAAUCUUGCUUCUAAAAUAACCAA
rnacentral:misc_RNA from 1 species